rnacentral:tRNA from 1 species
GGCUCGGUAGCUCAUUUGGUAAAGCGCUCGUUAAACAUACAAGAGUCCUGGGUUCGAUCCCAGCCGAGCAC